CUGUGUUUGGAUGUAUCUAACAAUGGCUUUUGGUUGCUUGAUCUUGCCUUCAAAUAUCCUCUCAUUUCUUGCCUCCCAAAUACAGUAAACUGAACAUGCAAGGCCUAUUUUCUUGGCUUUAGCUUGAACCCCUUGCCCCUUGCCUACUUAGUAAUCCACUUUACAGCAGCUUCAAUGUGCUCAUCGCUUGCGAGAUACCCAGCAAUUGCUUGAUUUGUAACCAAACUUGUUUACCCACAUUACAUUGAAAAAACUGGUGGUCUAUAGAUUCAUCUGCAGCAUUACAAAAGGGGCAUAUCUGAUCUUCUACGAGCCCUUGUAGCUUAUCUCUUGUAAGAAGUCUAUCUUUCAACCCCAGCCAUAGAAUAAAGGAGUGUUUAGGAGUGGAGGCUGCUGUGCCAAACUAACUUUGGCUAGGUGAGG
rnacentral:lncRNA from 1 species